rnacentral:rRNA from 1 species
UACAGAGGGUGCAAGCGUUGUUCGGAAUUAUUGGGCGUAAAGGGCGCGUAGGCGGUGCGGUAAGUCUGUAGUGAAAUCUCUGGGCUCAACUCAGAGUCUGCUGCAGAAACUGCCGUGCUUGAGGACGAGAGAGGUGAGUGGAAUUCCCAGUGUAGAGGUGAAAUUCGUAGAUAUUGGGAAGAACACCGGUGGCGAAGGCGGCUCACUGGCUCGUUUCUGACGCUCAGGCGCGACAGCGUGGGGAUCAAACAGG